rfam:Planctomycetes bacterium GWB2_41_19 gwb2_scaffold_5588, whole genome shotgun sequence.
UUACGACAAAGGCAAACCCUAAGUGAUUAGGGGGCGCAAAGUGAACAGGGUCUUUAAAUUUCAAUAAAGACGGCCUCACUACCGAA